rnacentral:lncRNA from 1 species
GGAAAAUUAGACUUGAGCCAGCCUUGCUCCUGUGAGACAUUCGUGCACUCAUAACCCAGCAGUGGGUGCCUCUACCUAGAAUGAGCCCUUCAUUUCCCGGAUCCGUUCAGGGGGAAACAGCGAAAUCCCCAAAUCCGCUUCCUUACGUGGCUAAUAAAGGGGUGCUUACAGAGCAUGGAAAAACAAAACAAAGAAACAAGAAUACCUUG